UAAGAUUUUUAAGAAAAAAAA
rnacentral:piRNA from 1 species